rnacentral:lncRNA from 1 species
GAAAAAUGUUUCUCAUAUCCUUCAGGUCACCUGAGUAGAAACCUAUAUAAAAAGGGUGAGUGUGAAGAGUUAAGAGGAAAACCUUUAGCAAACUGAGGUUGUUUCUACUUGCUAAAAGGGUCUCUCAUUUCUAUUCAUGAAUGGCCUUUCUACGCUUUCUCCUGAGCCACAGAAGAGGACAUUUCAGCACAAUCUAAGGUAGACUGAAACAAGUAAAACAUCUGGAUAAACUCCCCCAUGAACACUGAAAAAAGAAACAUGACUAAUAAGCUCUCUUCUCCACAUGCUGGAGAUUCUACUGAUGGUAACACAUUCAGAUACAAACACGUGAACCAAUAAUAACCAACCUCACUGCUAAAGCAGUCACUUGAAGCGAUAACCUCACUUCUGCUUUCCCAAAUAGGUCAUUUCAAAGCCUUAGAAACUGGCCUCAACAGUAACUGCAGGAAGCAUACUUGUCAGAUCUGAGCAAUAAAAAUACACCCUGACUGCUGAGCCUGGAGCACGGGAGAGCCUACAGCUAACCAGGGAAGACAUGCUUUAGAUAAAGUCCUUCCAACAUCUUGCAACCUGGAUAACAGCCAAGUCCUAUUCAUCCCUCUCAACCUGGCUCUUCCAUGCCCUCCUGCAAGGCCUUCCCCAGCCCUUCUCUGUGGAUGCCCCUCCUCCGUUUUGAAGCAGACUGGAUACCAGCCCCACCCCGCCGCCAUGCUUCUUUUAUCCUUGCAGAAAGCCUAUCUCCACCGGACUGUGACAACUUCAUGAGGGUGUAGAGCUCAUGCCUGUUUGAUUAGUCCCUUAACCACCACUGUUCCCAGCACCUGAGCUUCGUCCUUGGCACCUUGUGAACCUACAAUAAAUAUUUGUUAAAUGAAUGAAUAAAAGACUGAGAAGCGGGGGCA